rnacentral:rRNA from 1 species
CAGUCGCCGCGGGAAUACAGAGGGUGCGAGCGUUAAUCGGAUUUACUGGGCGUAAAGCGUGCGUAGGCGGCUUCUUAAGUCGGAUGUGAAAUCCCUGAGCUUAACUUAGGAAUUGCAUUCGAUACUGGGAAGCUAGAGUAUGGGUGAGGAUGGUAGAAUUCCAGGUGUAGCGGUGAAAUGCGUAGAGAUCUGGAGGAAUACCGAUGGCGAAGGCAGCCAUCUGGCCUAAUACUGACGCUGAGGUACGAAAGCAUGGGGAGCAAACAGGAUUAGAUACCCCAGUAGUCCCUGUCUCUUAUAC